AGCCUUCUUUAUUCAUGCGGAGAUUUCGUCGGCGAUCAAUCCAUUGGUGCUGGCUGAUGCAACUUCGCAAAUAAGUGAAGUG
rnacentral:pre_miRNA from 1 species